rnacentral:rRNA from 1 species
GAUGAACGCUGGCGGCGUGCCUAAUACAUGCAAGUCGAGCGAACGGACGAGAAGCUUGCUUCUCUGAUGUUAGCGGCGGACGGGUGAGUAACACGUGGAUAACCUACCUAUAAGACUGGGAUAACUUCGGGAAACCGGAGCUAAUACCGGAUAAUAUUUUGAACCGCAUGGUUCAAAAGUGAAAGACGGUCUUGCUGUCACUUAUAGAUGGAUCCGCGCUGCAUUAGCUAGUUGGUAAGGUAACGGCUUACCAAGGCAACGAUGCAUAGCCGACCUGAGAGGGUGAUCGGCCACACUGGAACUGAGACACGGUCCAGACUCCGACGGGAGGCAGCAGUAGGGAAUCUUCCGCAAUGGGCGAAAGCCUGACGGAGCAACGCCGCGUGAGUGAUGAAGGGCUGCGGAUCGUAAAACUCUGUUAUUAGGGAAGAACAUAUGUGUAAGUAACUGUGCACAUCUUGACGGUACCUAAGCAGAAAGCCACGGCUAACUACGU